GACGAACGCUGGCGGCGUGCUUAACACAUGCAAGUCGAACGGAAAGGCCCUGCUUGCAGGGUACUCGAGUGGCGAACGGGUGAGUAACACGUGGGUGAUCUGCCCUGCACUUCGGGAUAAGCCUGGGAAACUGGGUCUAAUACCGGAUAGGAGCCAUUUUUAGUGUGAUGGUUGGAAAGUUUUUUCGGUGUAGGAUGAGCUCGCGGCCUAUCAGCUUGUUGGUGGGGUAAUGGCCUACCAAGGCGGCGACGGGUAGCCGGCCUGAGAGGGUGGACGGCCACAUUGGGACUGAGAUACGGCCCAGACUCCUACGGGAGGCAGCAGUGGGGAAUAUUGCACAAUGGGCGCAAGCCUGAUGCAGCGACGCCGCGUGGGGGAUGACGGCCUUCGGGUUGUAAACUCCUUUCGCUAGGGACGAAGCUUUUUGUGACGGUACCUAGAUAAGAAGCACCGGCUAACUUCGUG
rnacentral:rRNA from 1 species